GGGCACUCUAAUGAGACUGCCGGUGACAACCGGAGGAAGGUGGGGAUGACGUCAAGUCCUCAUGGCCCUUAUAGGUGGGGCUACACACGUCAUACAAUGGAUGGUACAAAGGGUCGCCAACCCGCGAGGGGGAGCCAAUCCCAUAAAGCCAUUCGUAGUCCGGAUCGCAGUCUGCAACUCGACUGCGUGAAGUCGGAAUCGCUAGUAAUCGUGGAUCAGAAUGUCACGGUGAAUACGUUCCCGGGUCUU
rnacentral:rRNA from 1 species